AUGCCUAACACAUGCAAGUCGAACGAAGGCUUCGGCCUUAGUGGCGCACGGGUGCGUAACGCGUGGGAAUCUGCCCCUUGGUUCGGAAUAACAGUUAGAAAUGACUGCUAAUACCGGAUGACGACGUAAGUCCAAAGAUUUAUCGCCGAGGGAUGAGCCCGCGUAGGAUUAGCUAGUUGGUGUGGUAAAGGCGCACCAAGGCGACGAUCCUUAGCUGGUCUGAGAGGAUGAUCAGCCACACUGGGACUGAGACACGGCCCAGACUCCUACGGGAGGCAGCAGUGGGGAAUAUUGGACAAUGGGCGAAAGCCUGAUCCAGCAAUGCCGCGUGAGUGAUGAAGGCCUUAGGGUUGUAAAGCUCUUUUACCCGGGAUGAUAAUGACAGUACCGGGAGAAUAAGCUCCG
rnacentral:rRNA from 1 species